UGUAGAGCCUAUCAAACUCGUC
rnacentral:siRNA from 1 species